rnacentral:rRNA from 1 species
AGAGUGAACGCUGGCGGUAGGCCUAACACAUGCAAGUCGAACGGCAGCACAGUGGUAGCAAUACCAUGGGUGGCGAGUGGCGGACGGGUGAGGAGUACAUCGGAAUCUACCUUUUCGUGGGGGAUAACGUAGGGAAACUUACGCUAAUACCGCAUACGCCCUUCGGGGGAAAGCCGGGGAUCGCAAGACCUGGCGCGGAUAGAUGAGCCGAUGUCGGAUUAGCUAGUUGGUGAGGUAAUGGCUCACCAAGGCGACGAUCCGUAGCUGGUCUGAGAGGAUGAUCAGCCACACUGGAACUGAGACACGGUCCAGACUCCUACGGGAGGCAGCAGUAGGGGAAUAGUUGGACAAGUGGGACG